rnacentral:rRNA from 2 species
UGGGGGAUAUUGCACAAUGGGCGAAAGCCUGAUGCAGCAACGCCGCGUGAAGGAAGAAGGUCUUCGGAUUGUAAACUUUUGUUUUUGGUGACGAAAUCUGACGGUAGCCAAAGAGGAAGCCACGGCUAACUACGUGCCAGCAGCCGCGGUAAUACGUAGGUGGCAAGCGUUGUCCGGAAUUACUGGGUGUAAAGGGAGCGCAGGCGGGACAGCAAGUUGGAUGUGAAAUACCGAGGCUCAACCUCGGAGCUGCAUCCAAAACUGUUGUUCUUGAGUGAAGUAGAGGUAGGCGGAAUUCCGAGUGUAGCGGUGAAAUGCGUAGAUAUUCGGAGGAACACCAGUGGCGAAGGCGGCCUACUGGGCUUUAACUGACGCUGAGGCUCGAAAGCAUGGGGAGCAAACAGG